GGGGAAUAUUGGACAAUGGGGGCAACCCUGAUCCAGCAAUGCCGCGUGUGUGAAGAAGGUCUUCGGAUUGUAAAGCACUUUCGACGGGGACGAUGAUGACGGUACCCGUAGAAGAAGCCCCGGCUAACUUCGUGCCAGCAGCCGCGGUAAUACGAAGGGGGCUAGCGUUGCUCGGAAUGACUGGGCGUAAAGGGCGUGUAGGCGGUUUACACAGUCAGAUGUGAAAUCCCCGGGCUUAACCUGGGAGCUGCAUUUGAUACGUGUAGACUAGAGUGUGAGAGAGGGUUGUGGAAUUCCCAGUGUAGAGGUGAAAUUCGUAGAUAUUGGGAAGAACACCGGUGGCGAAGGCGGCAACCUGGCUCAUGACUGACGCUGAGGCGCGAAAGCGUGGGGAGCAAACAGGAUUAGAUACCCUGGUAGUCCACGCUGUAAACGAUGUGUGCUAGAUGUUGGGUAACUUUGUUAUUCAGUGUCGCA
rnacentral:rRNA from 1 species